ACCACUAGAUCCAGCAACUUUGAUCGGAGGGUGGCAGUACAAGGCAGGGCAGUAAGAGGAAAAGCGCAAGAAAAAAAGUAUUUCAAUGACUAUUGACUCAUUUCUUCUGAUGACCUGUAGUACAAGGAAUGGAGAAAACACAAGUCAGUGAAAUAAACCUAAUCUUUUUGCAGUAGCAGACAAAAACAACAUGACACAUUUCAUCUUUAUAUCACUAACAGACCACAAGAAAGUGUUUUGUCCUAAAGCACUGUUCUUCAGACUUUCACUUAGGCCUACUGACUCAGACAUCUUUAAAGUACAGUCAUCGUCUCAGUUUAUACAAAUUGCUAAAUGUGUUCUAUCAAAUGAGAAUCUGUUUGGUAUGUAUAUGAUUUGCAGGCAUUAAAUCAGAAGCUCAUAUCAUGAACAUAAUGGAUACUGAAAAAAAAUGCAGAUGUCUGAAUCAGUGUAAUGGUAAUGAAGUCGAGAUUUUAAGAUUUGCUGAAUCAGUAUUAAUUAUGUUUUUGUUAUCUUGCCAAAAUUUAAUUAUCCAUUUCAAUAUAAAUUUUCUGCAAUGAAACGAUGUGUUAUUGAUUUAAAAAAAUGCUACAUAAAUGUGAAUUGAAUAUCAAAGAUGUUUAGAUUUCUUUUUCGUUCAUAGAAAAUACACAUUCAGAAAAUAUUUUUACUAGUGAAAUAUUAAAGGUCUAUUAUUUAGUUUUUGUGGCUCUCAAAAAAUCUAUAAGAAUUUAAAUGCAUUUAAACAGGGUGGUUCAUGAUAUUAUUUGAACAUUUAUGCAAAAAUAUUUCACACACUUAGACCUUUUCAUUUAAAUAAAUAAAAUAAACACUAUCCCAGUCCUUCUAUUAUUUCUUUCAUUUCACUCAGCAGCUAUACACACUCACUCUCAAACUCUUUCUCACAGCUUCCCACUCAGAAUGCUCUGAGAACAUCUGUAAAAAAGGCCAGAGAUCAGAGUUUGUGUCCAAACCUCAGGUUAACAGCAUUGUGGUGGGUCCUGGUGUUCAGUAUCUCAGCAGGGUGAGGUGAUUUAAUCAAGCAAACAACCAUCCAAAACAUAAAGGGAUUUUUUUUAGGGUUAUUAAUGCAAUAUGCGAUUGAUGGCCAUCUAAAUCAUAUGUAAAUGUAAUAUAUUUUUGUAAAACAGCUACCUUAUUUUUGCAGGUGAAAGCUGUCUGUCCUAUAACAGCCUUCAUCUGCAAAAAUAAGGUAGCUGUUUUACAAAAUAUAUUACAUUUACAUAUAAUUGAGAUGACCUGCCAUUCUUUAGAGGUUUUCUAGAAGUUCCCUCAGCUGCCAAAGUUUUUACAGUUUUUUUUGUUGGUUUAUAUAUCAUUUGUAAUGUGGAGCUUGCACGUACAGUAUCACUUUUUGUUUAGCAACCGAUUCACACAUGCAGUGAUGUUGCAAAUAUUCCCCAGUCAUUACCCACAUUACACAAGCUACGCAAGGAAAGUAUUUCAAACCACACUUUGGCAAAAAAUAAAUUCAUAAUUAUAUCAAUAAAAUCAUAAAAAUCAUAAAAAUGCAAUUCAUAUAGACAUAAACUUAAACAUGUUUUCAACUUCUGAAUUAAGAUUUUAUAUAUACAUAACGCAAUAGCUUAUUGUAUGGCUAAUCGGAGCUGUGGUAGCUUGUUUUUUUUUUUCAAGCUAAAAUAAUUUUGUAAAAGCCACAUACAGAAUUCAUAUAGACAAAGACUUAAACAUGUUUUCAACUUCUGAAUUAAAAUGUUAUAUAUAUAUAUAUAUAUAUAUAUUUAUUAUUUAUUUAUUAUUUUUUUUAUUUUUAAUGUGUUUUCAAAUAUAUAUCUUUUUAGUAUUUUAAAUAUCCUUAUUUGUCACUCACUUAUGCAUGAAUCACUUGGUGGUGCUGUAAUCUACACAGAUGAGUCUGAGUGAUUGCAUCAAUGUAAAGCCCCUUUCACACUGCACUUUGGUCCUGGAAAAUUGCUGGGAUAUUGCCGGAUUGCCUUCUGUGGGAACUUAAACACUUCCCGGGAUUGAUCCCGAGCUGGAGACCUAGUAACAUUGCCGGGUUCAGUCCUGGUAUGAGCUCUGUGUGAACAAAAGCCAGAACCAAUACCGUUGUUAUGAGAAAUCGAAUCUCUCAUCGAAAUCUGGUCCGCUUAGGACCAAGACAGUAACGUUAGCUGUUUUAAAUCCCUGAUCAAAAGUUGUCACGAUAGCUUGUUGUAUGGCUAAUCGGAGCUGUGGUACUGUAGCUUGUUUUGUUUUUUUUCAAGCUAAAAUAAUUUUGUUAAAGUUAACGUGCCUACACUGAUAUAUUAUAAAUCAGUGCAUGCCUGGCAUUUUCCACUACAAUAAAUUAGAUGUCACAUCCUGGUGUCAAGUGUCAUUACGACCUUUACAGGUUGUGUGAGAACAAAGUGGCAAGCUCUCGCUCUCUCUCGUGAAGCCCAUACGGAAGUGACUUAAACUGUAAUUCAUCGACUGGCUGCUAGAGGCUGGCUGCAGUGUCCGUGACAUCACCCUUACAUUUCCGAAGAGCGUUUUUGAAGACAAAAGUAGACAGAGCACCGUCGCCAUCUUAACAUUGCGUCACCUCUUGUCACUCCCGGAUAAUUAAAAAUGAUAAUUAUAAAUCACCUUAAAUAGCUGCAUUCACCUUGAAAUGUGUGAAAUGUUUGUGAAUUUGACAUUUGGUAGUUUAUAAUCGGAUGCACAUCAUAAAAGGCGAAAUCUGGCCAGUACAGCUGCCACACAUCAACACACAUCAGCAAAGCAUGAUUUGUACUUCUCACGCUGCCAAAUUUUUCAUGUCCCUCAUCAAAAAAAAAACAUCUCUAAUAAGGUCUGUAAUGAGAUCCUGAUAGAGCCAUUGCUUCAACAUAGAACUGUUCACCCUCUGGCUCUGAAUACAGUCUGGUUUUGACUAACUCUCUCAUUAGUUAACUCAGAAAAACAGCUGUAAAGUCACCCCGAAGAGAUCCUGGUUCUAAUUCUGGGUUUUACUGUCUUGUACAAGGUGGACAGAAUACAUGCCAGUAUGAAAAGAUUUAUCUCUGGUUAAAUUUGACCAACUUUUAAGUCAAUCAUUAAAAAAAAAAAAAAAAUUGUCAAAUAAUUCAUGUCAUUGUUUAUUGGUGAAUAAAUAGCUUAUUAUUUGUACAUUUUAUUACAAGCACAAAGCUCUUAUCAGAUUGACACAGGCACUGCAUUUUAUCUAAAACAACUUACAGUGCAGUGAAGAUAUAUAUGUUUUUGGGAAUUGAACCCUUGACCUUGGCGUUGCUAUUGCCAUGUGUUACCAGCUGAACUACUGCAAUAACAAGACACAGCACACCUUGUGUAUGUACUUGAUCUCUUCUCAGUGUGGUUCUUGUUACUUGGGUCCAGACCAAAGCACAGAUGACUGAUUCCUGGAUGCGAGGGCUCCAGCAGCCCGUGGGAUCAGUUUUGGAAUGCUGCCACCACUUGUGAAGGUUCCAGAGUCAUGUUUAUGAGAUUAAGUACCAAACUGCACUCCCAGCUCAACGGAUGACCCCAACAUCCCACCUUGAUAUCUUUCAUGAGAAUUUAGAUGCCAUUUGGAAAGGCUAUGUGUGAAUGAACAUGUUUGUAUGUUCAUAUGUGUGUAUUUAUUUGCACAAGGAUGCACAACUAGAAGCAGCUGCUGGCGCCCCUUGCUUUCAACCCACUGUGCUUGCCCCAAAUCACCCUCCAGAGAGCACCUCAGAGACAUGGUUCAUCAGAGGCUGCUGACUGAUCCAGAACAGCUCCCAUGAGACACACAGCACCAGUUUGUCUUCAUAUGUCCGAGCUGGUUGUUGUUGAAACUCCUUUGGCCCAAGUUAAAUAAAAAAGUGACAACAGUUGAAGAAUGUUCAACUUCACCUCCUGAAAAACACAGCGCUCAUCACUGUCACUUUUUCGUCAGUCAGCCAUCCAAUCACAACCGCUACAUCCUCCUUGUACAACAGCAACAACAACAGAACAAAGUCAUUUUAAACAAGGGCCAGAGCAAGUACAUUAUACUCUGUCAACAUUUUUAUAUUCAUAUAGAAACUCUCUACGAAAUCAGAUAUCAGUUACACUUCUGCAGAUAUUCUGUUUCAUAGCAGUCAAAGCAUCUUAACUAAAAAAACAACAACGCUGUGCCUCAGAAGCACUCUCGAGCACUCACAGCUAGGGUCCCAUCUGGCUUAAAAACAUAUAUUGCACCAGAGCCUGAGCCCAGUGAAGAGUCCGACCAGGUGCGUGAGCUGACAACAGCACAGAUAGCAAAGGCAGUACCUGUUGAGAUCGAGGGCUGGGAGGAAAGCCCCGUCCACAGCCCCACCAUUGUGGCUGAGAUAUAUAUGGCCUCUGGUUCAAAAAACUUAAGGACAUAUUUGAGGAGUAUAUAAUAGACUUUUUUGAAGAACUUCUUCUCAGUUGUAGUGUUGAUCCACCUCGGGCCUCCCUGUCACCAGCUCUGCCUAGGCAUGAGGAUGCCCUGUCUCUGCCUCCAGUCUCCGAGUCCAGGACUCCACCUCAGCCCUCUGACCCUUCGGCUCCAUUAAAGUUUUUUUUUUUUUUUUUUUUUUUUUACAAUCAUUUACAACAUAGCUUAGGUUUUAACAUCAGAAAAACAACAUCAGUUUGAGCCCAGCCCUGCCUGUGUUCUGGGGUCUUCAGGAGCUGAAUCUCUUGGUGAAUGGCCAGCACCUCCUCAGUGACUCGGGGGGCAAUGCGGUGACAGUGGAACGAGGUAUGUGUCAAACACUCUGGAGACCACUCUGUAUGACGUACCACCAGCAGACAGAAGAUAAACACCAGGGUCUGGAUUGUGGCACCUCAUCACUAUUGCCAUUCACUUCUCAGAAGAUCCAGCAACAAAAAUUGUUUAGCGCUGACAACGUAAUUAGUAGAAGAAAUAUUAAGGUACUUUAGCAAACUACUUUUAGUAACUACUAAUACCACAUUGGGGAAAAAAACUACUAGUCAUAUUUAAAAGCUUAGCUAAAGGGAUAGUUCACCCAAAAAUCCAAACCUGGAACAACUCAAGGGUGAGUAAAUGAUUACAGAACUUUCGUUUUUGGCUGAAUUAUCCUUUAAGUUAAAAUUAUCUUGAUUACUCUAAUAUUGCUCUAAUAUUUUUUCUCUAAUAUUUCUAUAAAUAUAUAAAAUUCCUGCAUUUAAAGUUGUAAUCCUACAAAGGAUGCAGAAAAACAGUGUUACUUACCUGGCCUCGGUUUUGGCUAAGCCUUGAGGUACAUCACCGUUUCCUCCAUUAUAAUGUAAAACAUAAAAAACAAAACUGAGCCAUUCAUUUUAGCUUUUUGGCUUCCUUGUCUUGUGACCCAGCUUUCAUGAGUUAAUUAACUCAUUAGUUUCCUUUGUUCGCCUUGUGUACUGUACUUAAAUGCUGGGUUUGUCCGUCUACACUUGUGUAAGGUUGUUAAAAGUGGGUGUUUCCUGAGUUUAUGUAAUUAAAGUUCUUUCUUGAAGUAUU